UGCUGCGGUGAAUACGUUCCCGGGCCUUGUACACACCGCCCGUCACACCAUGGGAGUUUGUUGCACCAGAAGCAGGUAGCUUAACCUUCGGGAGGGCGCUUGCCACGGUGUGGCCGAUGACUGGGGUGAAGUCGUAACAAGGUAGCCGUAUCGGAAGGUGCGGCUGGAUCACCUCCUUU
rnacentral:rRNA from 1 species